rnacentral:tRNA from 1 species
UUCAACUUGGCAGAUUAAUGCGAUAAAUUUAGAAUUUAUUUAUGAAUUAUUUUUCAGUUGGAA